rnacentral:rRNA from 1 species
GUAGGGAAUUUUGGGCAAUGGGGGAAACCCUGACCCAGCAACGCCGCGUGAGUGAAGAAGGCCUUCGGGUCGUAAAGCUCUGUCAGGUGGGAAGAAAAAGCCCGGGUCAUGCCGGGCCUUGACCGCCACCAAAGGAAGCACCGGCUAACUCCGUGCCAGCAGCCGCGGUAAUACGGAGGGUGCAAGCGUUGUCCGGAAUCAUUGGGCGUAAAGGGCGUGUAGGCGGCCCGACAAGUCUGGUGUGAAAUCCCCCGGCUCAACCGGGGAAGUGCAUUGGAAACUGUCGGGCUUGAGUGCGGGAGAGGGAGGUGGAAUUCCCAGUGUAGCGGUGAAAUGCGUAGAUAUUGGGAGGAACACCGGUUGCGAAGGCGGCCUCCUGGACCGUCACUGACGCUGAGACGCGAAAGCGUGGGGAGCAAACAGGAUUAGAUACCCCUGUAGUCC